AGUGAACGCUGGCGGUAGGCCUAACACAUGCAAGUCGAACGGCAGCACAGUAAGAGCUUGCUCUUACGGGUGGCGAGUGGCGGACGGGUGAGGAAUACAUCGGAAUCUACUUUUUCGUGGGGGAUAACGUAGGGAAACUUACGCUAAUACCGCUUACGACCUACGGGUGAAGGCAGGGGAUCUUCGGACCUUGCGCGAUUGAAUGAGCCGAUGUCGGAUUAGCUAGUUGGCGGGGUAAAGGCCCACCAAGGCGACGAUCCGUAGCUGGUCUGAGAGGAUGAUCAGCCACACUGGAACUGAGACACGGUCCAGACUCCUACGGGAGGCAGCAGUGGGGAAUAUUGGACAAUGGGCGCAAGCCUGAUCCAGCCAUACCGCGUGGGUGAAGAAGGCCUUCGGGUUGUAAAGCCCUUUUGUUGGGAAAGAAAAGCAGCAGGUUAAUACCCCGCUGUUCUGACGGUACCCAAAGAAUAAGCACCGGCUAACUUCGUG
rnacentral:rRNA from 1 species